GACGAACGCUGGCGGCGUGCCUAAUACAUGCAAGUCGAACGCAGUGGGGACGGGUGAGUAACACCUGGGUAACCUCCCAUCAGAGGGGAUAACCCUUGGAAACAGGUGCUAAACCGAUAUUGAUUGAUGGACCCGCGGUGCAUUAGCUAGUUGGUGGGGUAACGGCUCACCAAGGCGACGAUGCCUAGCCGGCCUGAGAGGGUGAUCGGCCACACUGGGACUGAGACACGGCCCAGACUCCUACGGGAGGCAGCAGUGGGGAAUAUUGGGCAAUGGGCGAAAGUCUGACCGAGCAACGCCGCGUGAGUGAAGAAGGUUUUCGGAUCGUAAAGCACUGUUGUUAGAGAAGCGGUAUCUAACCAGAAAGCCACGGCUAACUACGUGCCAGCCGCCGCGGUAAUUC
rnacentral:rRNA from 1 species